UGGCAGCCCAAGUGGGUAACGUAGCUAGUGCUGUCCUAGUCAGUAGUCACCAAUCUUGACUUCCCCUGCCUCCAUGCUUGUUCACACUCUUGUUCCUCUUCCAUUUCAUCUGUAUAUACACCCUCUUCUUCCUUCUCCAAAUAGCAGAGCAAAACAACAUUUACACACUCUCCUCAAUGCCUCCCCUCUACAUAUUAUCGCUCGGGCUUCUCCUCCUCUUGCAUAUUCCUCAUUGGCGCCCCUCGUCCGCAGCUGCAAGCGAUACCCUCACGGUGGGCCAAUCUCUCGCGGUCGGCAGCAAGCUUGUCUCAAGAAACGGCAAGUUUGCGCUCGGCUUCUUUCAGCCAGCAGCAAGCAUCAUCAGUAAGUCCCAGAACACCACCAGCUCCAGCUGGUACCUUGGCAUAUGGUUCAACAAGAUCCCAGUUUUUACUACUGUGUGGGUUGCUAACAGGGACCAGCCCAUCACUGGCCCCAACCUCAACCUAACACAGCUCAAGAUAUCGAGCGAUGGCAAUCUUGUCAUCGCGAACAACGAUUCCGUAGUUUGGUCCACUCACAUUGUCAAUAAUAGGACACAAACCAGCAGCAUAAACGCCACUACUGGUGCUGCCGUUCUCUUGAAUAGUGGAAACCUUGCUCUUACAGUCACAGAGAGCCCAUCAUCAUCUGACCUACCGUUGUGGCAGAGCUUUGAUUACCCAACAGAUAUUUUUCUUCCUGGUUCCAAGUUUGGCCGGAACAAGGUCACCAGCUUGACUCAUCAGAGCAUCUCAAAGAAGAGCCUCAUUGAUCCGGGUCUUGGCUCAUAUAGCAUUGAACUAGAAGAAACCAAGGGGAUUGUCCUCAAGCGCCGCAACCCCUUGGUAGUGUAUUGGCAUUGGGCAUCCUCCAAAACAUCAUCGUUGAGUCUUAUACCAAUACUCAAUUCCAUUCUGGAUUUGGAUCCACGGACCAAAGGUUUGAUUAACACAACAUAUGUUGAUAACAACCAAGAGGAGUACUACACGUACACUUCACCGGAUGAAUCAUCCCCCACAUUUGUCUCACUAGACAUCUCUGGUCUGAUAAAGCUGAAUGUUUGGUCACAAGCCAACCAGUCGUGGCAAAUUAUAUAUACCCAGCCUGCCGAUCCCUGCACUCCGGCUGCUACCUGUGGACCUUUCACAGUCUGCAACGGCAUUGCACAGCCAUUCUGUGACUGUAUGAUGAACUUCUCUCAGAAGUCACCUCUGGAUUGGGAGUUUAAUGAUCGAACAGGAGGAUGCAUCAGAAAUACACCGUUACACUGCAACACUAGUAGUAACAACAAAAACAUCACAAGUUCAACAGACAUGUUCCACUCCAUUGCUCAAGUUACAUUACCCUACAACCCGCAAAGCAUAGACAUUGCUAACACACAGAGCGAUUGCGAAGAAGCUUGUCUCAGUUCUUGCUCCUGCACUGCUUAUUCCUAUAACAGUAGCAGAUGCUCUGUCUGGCAUGGGGAAUUGCUUAGUGUAAAUCUGAAUGAUGGCAUUGAUAAUACUUCUGAAGAUGUUCUUUAUAUUCACCUUGCCGCCAAAGAUUUGCUGCCAAGUUUGAGAAAAAACAAAAGAAAACCAAACGUUGGAGUGGUCACUGCUGCAAGCAUUUUUGGUUUUGGGUUACUAAUGCUCCUGGUGUUGUUACUUAUUUGGAGGAACAAAUUCAAGUGGUGUGGUUCCCCUUUAUACGGCAAUCAAGGUAGUGCUGGUGGGAUUAUAGCCUUCAGAUACACCGAAUUAGUUCAUGCUACUAAAAACUUCUCAGAAAAGCUUGGAGGAGGUGGUUUUGGUUCUGUAUACAAGGGAGUGUUAAGUGACUCGAAGACUACUAUAGCAGUGAAAAAGCUUGAUGGUGCUCAGCAAGGAGAGAAGCAAUUCAGGGCCGAGGUGAGCUCAAUUGGACUGAUCCAACAUAUCAACCUUGUCAAAUUGAUUGGUUUCUGCUGCGAAGGUGAUCACAGAUUACUUGUAUACGAACACAUGUUAAAUGGGUCUCUUGAUGGUCAUCUAUUUAAGAAGAGCAAUAAUGCUGAUGCUGCUGUCCUAAGCUGGAACAGCAGAUAUCAGAUAACCCUAGGAGUUGCCAGAGGGUUGUCCUACUUGCAUCAGAGUUGCCACGAAUGCAUCAUACACUGUGAUGUUAAACCAGAAAACAUACUUGUGGACACAUCAUUUGUUCCUAAAGUUGCAGACUUUGGGUUGGCAGCGUUUGUGGGAAGGGAUUUUAGCCGAAUUCUAACUACAUUCAGAGGAACUGCAGGCUAUCUUGCCCCAGAGUGGCUUACCGGAGUUGCUAUUACACCGAAAGUUGAUGUUUAUGGCUUUGGCAUGGUCCUGCUGGAGAUCUUAUCGGGAAGGAGGAAUUCACCUGAAAUAUACAACACUAGCAGCAGCGGCAGUUACCAUGUUGAAUAUUUCUCGGUGCAAGCCAUCAGCAAUUUUCAUGGGGGAGAUGUGAAGAGUUUGGUGGAUCCACGGUUGCAUGGUGACUUCAAUUUGGAAGAGGCUGAAAGGGUUUGCAAAGUUGCAGGUUGGUGCAUCCAAGAUAAUGAGUUUGAUCGGCCAACGAUGGGUGAAGUGGUCCGGGUUCUCGAGGGUCUACAGGAGAUUGAUGUGCCCCCGAUGCCAAGACUACUUGCAGCUAUAACGGCACAACCUGGUGCUGCAAUUUGAGUGUAAUAAUAACUAGCAGUCGAUGCUAAUAAUAUCUGUUAGUUUCAGCAAAUUUUAGAGUUUUAGUAAUGUUGAGCGGAAGGAAUAAAGGAAGGCAAAGCUGGUAUGCUAAUUAAAUUAUUUCUUAUUUAGUACCGUAUGUAAUCAAGCAUUGUAGCAAAAUAUGGCAGACCUAGAAAUAUGUGUAUGUUUUGUUGAUGGGAUAGUUUGAUACCUAUCUUUAAAUCGAAGGAAGAUGUCAAUGUACAUGUAUGCCACAACCCAUUCUUGAUCAAGAGUACGCAUGGCCGGGUCAUCCCUCAUGCUCACUCGAUGGUGUGGUGUUCUGGUACGAAACCGAGUGGCCUGGCCCUACACCUGCGCGACGAAAUUUGCGGCAGGCUCCAGUGCGGCAUGGAUGCGAAGGAAAAUAUGGGUACAAAUGAAGGAAUCCAGGUUUGAAGACGGUCAAAGGUGACAUGACGAAUGAUUUUGCUCCAAGGUCAUGAGGCUAUUACAUUCAGUCCCCUAGAUGAAAGCAACCGCAGAUGACAGUAAGGUUCAUAACCCUGCUAGGGAGAGCAUAACAAGUGACAUUCAGUCCAUGGUGACAAAGCAAUGAAGAAGCAUCCUCCUACUGGACAACACCUUUGGUUUUAAGCAUCCUAAUUUUUGCAUAUUUGGUAAAGAUUCCCCACCAGCAACAAACAACUGUUUCUCUUCUGAUUGCCGCAAUUUUUUCUCCUUUUGUAUAGUUUGCAAAUGUUUUGAUGAAUAUAUGUGCUGCGUUUAGUAUUUGCGCAUCUGGAAAGGAGCAUGAAGCACAGGCUUUUCAAGGCACUGCACUGCACUGUUUUUGCCUGCUCAUAUUAAAUUGCCGAGAGCAAAAGCGCAGCCAGUCAUCCUCAAUAAAAACAUCUAGGUGAAAGUUGAGGUGUUCUUUUCAGACUUGGGAUGGUAACUUCAGAACUUCUAAUUACAAUGCAGGGAUAGGUUACUAAUAGCUUGCUUAGGCAAGAUGCCAGCUAUAGUUUAAAUCAUUGUUUUUUCUAGAAAAUUAAAUAAUUGAUUUAAAACUGUACCUAAUCAAGAGACCGCAUAUACUGUAUAAUCGCUUGGUA